rnacentral:rRNA from 1 species
GAUGAACGCUGACAGAAUGCUUAACACAUGCAAGUCUACUUGAAGCUAACUUCGGUUAGUGGAGGGUGGCGGACGGGUGAGUAACGCGUAAAGAACUUGCCUCACAGAUUGGGACAACAUUUGGAAACGAAUGCUAAUACCGGAUAUUAUGAUACUUCCGCAUGGAAGAAUCAUGAAAGCUAUAUGCGCUGUGAGAGAGCUUUGCGUCCCAUUAGCUAGUUGGAGAGGUAACGGCUCACCAAGGCGAUGAUGGGUAGCCGGCCUGAGAGGGUGAACGGCCACAAGGGGACUGAGACACGGCCCUUACUCCUACGGGAGGCAGCAGUGGGGAAUAUUGGACAAUGGACCAAAAGUCUGAUCCAGCAAUUCUGUGUGCACGAUGAAGUUUUUCGGAAUGUAAAGUGCUUUCAGUUGGGAAGAAGCAAGUGACGGUACCAACAGAAGAAGCGACGGCUAAAUACGUGCCAGCAGCCGCGGUAAUACGUAUGUCGCAAGCGUUAUCCGGAUUUAUUGGGCGUAAAGCGCGUCUAGGUGGUUAUAUAAGUCUGAUGUGAAAAUGCGGGGCUCAACUCCGUAUUGCGUUGGAAACUGUAUGACUAGAGUACUGGAGAGGUAAGCGGAACUACAAGUGUAGAGGUGAAAUUCGUAGAUAUUUGUAGGAAUGCCGAUGGGGAAGCCAGCUUACUGGACAGAUACUGACGCUAAAGCGCGAAAGCGUGGGUAGCAAACAGG